GCGGCGUUCUGGGGUGUUGGCGCGCAGGUGCCCCGAGGCCCCUGCGGGCUGUGGCGGUGGGACCGCUUCCACCCACGCCCCGCGACCCCGUGCAGGGAGCCGCCGUUGCAGGGGGGGUCGCACAGCGGGGAGGGGUGGAGGCGACCGUGGCUCUGGGGUACCCGCGGGGGUACCCAUCGGGGGGCACCUGGCCUCCCCACGGGCCGCGGUGUGCGGGUGAAGGGCUCUGACUGUGUCCCGCCCUGGAGGGUUCCACGGAGUCCACGGAGGGUUCCAUGGAGUCCGCGGCCUCCAGGGCCAUGUUGAAGACCCGCUGACUUCUCACGUUGCCACUGGAAAGCGCUGAUGCUGUUGGCUUCAGGAAGAAUACAACAGAAGCUUCAUUCUGAGACUUCUGGGAGGCCACGGGUGGGCUUCAACUUGACACCCGGAAGUUUCUAAACCAAGUGCGUUGGGCACCAGGAGCCAAAGAAUGCUGCGGUGCUGCUGGUUCAGUGCAGCAGAAGGAGUCCCCCCACCACCCUGUGUGUGGGCCUCCAUGUGGGCUGGACAGACUGACCCAAGAGACGUCUAACAGCAUGUACACUGAGCGUGGGGGGCCCCCCAGGCGGUUCAGGGGGCCGGAGGGAUGUCAACAGCCCACUUCUCCCCGGUCCACGAGGAACCACGGAAAUGACAAGAGCAGAUCUCAGGAAGCCCCAGCCCUGCCCAACAGGUGACCUCCCGGAACACAGGAACCCUUGGCCAGAGCCAGUCUGGUACUGAGCCUGGUCCGGUGUGUGUACGGAGCUGGAUGUCCUCUCACUGCCCAUGUGGAUUUGUGUGACCAGCACGGCUCUCACCAUGCUGAAUGGUACCACGGGCUCCAGGGUCCCCGUGCUGCCCUCCCCCUGCACUGUCCCCCGGCCUCUGACCACCAGCCUCCUCAGCAGGGAAACUGUCCUUUUGAGGCUAGAAACGGAAACACAGUAUAUGUGACGCACAGAGACGGGUGCUGGGCUCUGUGUCCUUCCCAUGGGGCCAGCGGUCUGCUGCUUUCCAUCUCAAAGCAGUGUCUGGGCUGUGGGGCACAGGGGACGUGACCACAUGCUGCUGAAGGCUGCCUGGGACUCUCCCACUUUGGAGCUGUUACCUGUAAAGCUGUGCGGACUAUUCGUAGACAGUGUUUUGUGCCUGAUCACACGACUUGUUAUUCCUGGACAGAGGUCCAGGAGGGUGGCAGGGUCACGCUGUAAGGGGGAGGCGUGCCGCCUCUGUUCCGUGGGCACUCUGUGGGCUCCUGCUUCCCUGGGGCCCUGCCAGCACUUGCUGGCCUCACUGGCUCUUCCUUUCGCCUCUCUGAUGGUGUGGGCGGUCCGCAGGCUGCCCGGGAGAGGGCCGCGAUGGGGCGCCCGGGCAGUCGGGACCACAGGGUCCGCCUUGGGCCCCGUGGAAGGUUCCAGCUUAGGGAGCGUAGAAGGGUCACGGGAGGAGCCCUGUCCUUCCGACCACACAUGGGGGAAGGGAGGGGUGUGGAGGGCAGGUUCAGGGACCCGGGUUUUAGGGGGUGAUUUCUGGAAGAAAAGAGGGGGCAUAGGGAGACAUCUGUGUGUGGCACCCCAGGGGCCUGAAAGCCACCCCAGGUCCCGCUGGUAGGAGGAUUGUUUUGUUUGAGGGAAACAUUCUCAGAGCCUGACACCAUCUUUGCCGAUAAGUGAACACAGGCUCGCUGUGGGAGUUACAGUAACACUUCACUCAGCAAACGAGGGAAGUCCUGGUGAGCCAGUAAGGGAACGGCACAGCCGACCCACCAGCAGACCGGUCACUGCCGUUCUAGGCAAGGCACGGGGCCCAUGACGUCCGACUCCCAGGGCACACCUUCCCCUCAGGAGGCGGCAGAGCUCAGCGCGGGGUCCCCGGUGCUGGGUCGUGGGAGGAGACUUCGCUGCGGUCCUGCCGAGAGCCCCUCGGGGCAGCCCAGCCGGGCCCUGCCAGACCCAGGGUCUCACUGCGGCCCCACGGACUCUCCCUGUGAAGGGUUGACGUGGCCGCGCUUCCCCAUUCUGGCCCACACGACCCGACCAUGCUGAGCGGCCGAGUGCGUGUCAGCCGCAGGCGUUAGUGGCAGCGUCCCCACGCAGCCUCCCCGGCGCAAACACUUCACCGAGCUCAGAACACUGAAGUCACAGACAAGCGGAAUCCUAGCCGACCACACACAGCAGGGUCGGAGCAGGGGACACGGGCUGUGUCCCUGGCAGCGGGGACCACCCACGUGGGCGGCAGCGGCUGGCCCAUCAGGCCCUGGGACCGCCAGGCUCAGAGCCGCCGGGGUGGAGAACACCCUAGCGGUCCUCGGGGUCCGUGCCCCAGCCUCCGGGUGCUCCGGGGCCAGGGAGCUUGGGGGCCCAGCUGCCCUGUCCUCCCGGCCUGUGGGGAAAGCAGCCUCCACCUGAUUUUCUGUGCCUCAUUCCAUUGGGCAGGUCUCGGGGGGCAGCAGCAGAGAGCGGCUGCCCGGCGCCCAUGCCGCCCCCCCACUGCACCCCCCAGGCUUGCUGCUGGGGCUCCUCGCGGUGACGCUACAGCGCAGCGGAAUGACGGCCCUUGUCGGCAACUGUCCCCAUAUUAGCUCGUUGUCCCUGCGCAACCGGGAAGCAGGAGGCAGGCGUCACUUCUCUCUUCCAGGCUCACGGGUGGGGGCUUCCUGAAAGCCCGAUCACUGGGGACAGAGCCGGGACACAAACCCAGGUUCUCCAGGUUCCAGGCUGGUGUCCCCGCCCAGCCACCUGACGGACACUCAGCAGGUGCUCACGGUCAGAAUCCCUGCGGGUGCGGGAGUAGGUCCCCGCGUCGUGGCCAGCGCGGCUGGGUUCCGGUGUGUGUGCGCCUCUGGAUUCUGCGUCCUUGGACAUUACUUGACGAAAUUUAAGAAAAUGGUGCGAUAAACCGACCCACUCGGAGGCGGAGAGGUGGAAUUUACU